GAUGAACGCUGGCGGCGUGCCUAAUACAUGCAAGUCGAGCGAAUGGAUUAAGAGCUUGCUCUUAUGAAGUUAGCGGCGGACGGGUGAGUAACACGUGGGUAACCUGCCCAUAAGACUGGGAUAACUCCGGGAAACCGGGGCUAAUACCGGAUAACAUUUUGAACCGCAUGGUUCGAAAUUGAAAGGCGGCUUCGGCUGUCACUUAUGGAUGGACCCGCGUCGCAUUAGCUAGUUGGUGAGGUAACGGCUCACCAAGGCAACGAUGCGUAGCCGAACUGGGAGGGUGAUCGGCCCCACUGGGACUGGGAAACGGCCCAGACUCAUACGGGAGGCAGCAGUAGGGAAUCUUCCGCAAUGGACGAAAGUCUGACGGAGCAACGCCGCGUGAGUGAUGAAGGCUUUCGGGUCGUAAAACUCUGUUGUUAGGGAAGAACAAGUGCUAGUUGAAUAAGCUGGCACCUUGACGGUACCUAACCAGAAAGCCACGGCUAACUACGUGCCAGCAGCCGCAGUAA
rnacentral:rRNA from 1 species